UACAGAGGUCUCAAGCGUUGUUCGGAUUCAUUGGGCGUAAAGGGUGCGUAGGCGGCGGGGCAAGUCGGAUGUGAAAUCUCAGGGCUCAACCCUGAAACUGCAUUCGAUACUGCCUUGCUCGAGGACUGGAGAGGAGAUUGGAAUUCACGGUGUAGCAGUGAAAUGCGUAGAUAUCGUGAGGAAGACCAGUGGCGAAGGCGGGUCUCUGGGCCGAUACUGACGCUGAGGAGCGAAAGCGUGGGGAGCGAACAGG
rnacentral:rRNA from 1 species